UCGGCCUUUUUGACGCCCUAAACAUACACGAAAACGCAUGAAAAUCGCCACACACAUCAGAACCGGCGAAAAAUUUGAUAUUUUAGGGAAAUGGCACGCGUGCGUGCCAAAAUGGCUCAAUACCGCCCCCUAGAAAAUUAAGAAAAUUCAGUCCCCGGACAGUGUUUGACCUAGACUUCUGAAAUUCGGUACACAUAUGUAACUCAUCAAGACGCACAAAAAAUCUUCUUGCAUCAUUACCCAUAAUGCAACAGGAAGUCGGCCAUUUUGAAUUAUGAGUCAUUUUUGGACAUUUUUGGAUAUAUAUAAACUCAAACAGCGUAAUCCUGAGAGAGCUGAAAUUUGGCCAGGAUGUACUCCAGUCAUGGGUGAUCAAAAGUUAUCAAAACGCUCCGCAAAAGUCUGAGGACGCGGAAAUGGCGAGCCACGGAAUGCGGCCAUUUUGAAAUAUGAUUCAUAUUUUGGACAAUUUUGUCAUUUUUGGACAUUUCCAAAAGCUAUAAACUCAAACAGCUUAACCCCGACAGAGCUCAAACUUGGCCAGGAUGUACUCCCGUCAUGGUUGAUCAAAAGUUAUCAAAACGCUCUGCAAAAGUUUGAGGGCGUGGAAAUGGCGAGCCACGGAAUGCGGCCAUUUUGAAAUAUGAUUCAUAUUUUGGACAAUUUUGUCAUUUUUGGACAUUUUCAAAAGCUAUAACCUCAAACAGCGUAACCACGAGAGAGCUCAAAUUUGGUCAGGAUGGACACCAGUCAUGGUUGAUCAAAAGUUAUCAAAACGCUCCGCAAAAGUCUGAGGGCGUGGCCAUAGUUACCAGCGGAAUGCGGCCAUUUUGAAUGUCUUGCCAUGAAACAGGAAGUGCUGUCUAACUAGCCUGUACAUGCUCCAGUCUGCUUCAAAUUAUACAUGCGUGAUCAGAGUCCAGCCCUAAUCACGUCCAUAGGUUGAUAUACACUCACAGUCAUAGCGCCACAUGGCGGCCAUUUUGAAUUUCUCGCCAUUAAACAGGAAGUGCUGUGUAACCAGACUGUACAUGCUCCAAUCUGCCUGAAAUUUUACAUGCAUGAUCAGAGUCCGGCCCUAAUCACACCUUUGUGCCACUUGGCGGCCAUUUUGGAUUUCUCGCCAUGAAACAGGAAGUGCUGUGUAACCAGCCUGUACAUGCUCCAAUCUGCCUGAAAUUUUACAUGCAUGAUCAGAGUCCGGCCCUAAUCACAUCUUUGUGCCACUUGGCGGCCAUUUUGGAUUUCUCGCCAUGAAACAGGAAGUGCUGUGUAAGUAGCCUGUACAUGCUCCAAUCUGCCUGAAACUUUACUCUCUCAGUUGCAGCGCCUCCUGGUGGAUAUGCGUGGGCCAGUCGGGCCGCUCGGAUGCAAGGACCCGUCCAACGCUGCUUGCAGCUUUUAUUGGUUUAGUGGUUGGAAGUCAAUAAAACAUUAGCGUCAGUCAAAUUGAAUGCGUCAGUGGAUGGAAGUGGUGGUUGCCUUGUGCUGCUCUUCACUUCACUGCAGCUCCAUGGCUCCAUCUGCUGGACGGACAGAAGUGCAGCAGCUGAUGGCAGCUUCUUUGAACUCACGCUGCUGUCAGACCCCAGAUUAGGGUUUAUUUCAGAUAUAUAUAAUAGAAAAUAGUAAUUAAAAAAUAAGCUGAUGUUGUAUUUUUGCAGCAGUGAGUUUUACAGGGUUAAAAGCAACCAGUCAAAGGUUAUUACUGAGGAUUUUAAACAAAAACAUUCAGGCAAACAGUUAACAUCAUAGGGUGCCUGACAUGUUUGUUUUUUUUCCGGGUCGAUACAGAUUUUUUUUGUAAUCAAGGAGAUCAAUAACCAAGAUUUGGAAUCGCUACACAUUUGCAGAAAAAAUAAAGUUUUUGAACAGCACAUAAAGUUAAGUUAAAAUUAAAAUAAUCACGAGUUGCAGCCUUUGCUUAUUUAUGUUUUACAUGCUGAAGUUGUCCUUCAGUGUUUCACUGAUCAGAUUGUGCUGUGGGCAGGAACAAGAUCAGAGGGAGGCAGCUGCAGCAGACCCAAAGUAGUUUCACAUUCAUUUAUCUGAUCAGAUUUCAGGGGGCUUUUUUUUUUUUUUUAAGAAAUGGGACCAAUAAUUGAAAACAUGCUAAAUAUCAGAUGGGAUCAUUGGUGUCACAGGACAUCUGCAGACACAGGUCAAAGAUUACAAGGAGUUUAUUUAACGAAUGAAACUAAAACCAACACAGAAAGGAUAACUAAACCAAGGUGAAAACAAAAAGGGGAAACCAGACUAAUUGUAGGAGAAAGGUUCUGGUUUCAAAGUCUCUGGUCUGGCAGAGAGCGGAAGAAUGAAGAACCGGGCCUUCGUGGAUUAAGGUGAUUGAGAACAGGUGAAUCAACCCCCACACCCGUGAGAGAGAUGGAUGGAUGGAUGGAUGGAUGGAUGGAUGGAUAGAUAGGUAGGGAGGUAGAUGGACCAUAGAUAGAUGGAUGGAUAGGUAGAUUCUGCAGUGGGGAAAUUUUCAGUGUGGCAGUAGCAGAUAGGAAAAAAAGUAAAAAGAAAAGCAGCACUCAGUGCACAGAUAUAAAUAGAUGCUUUCUCCUUAGAGAAGAAAUAGAAAUGCUUGUAAAAAAAAAAAAAAACCUUGUGAAAUUGCACAUAUUGACUUAUUUACAUUUUAUUGCAGUUACGUCAUGGGUGAUCUGAACUACUGGGAGCAGGCUUGAUUGAACACAGUCUGACUGCUGCAGGAAGGAAGGACCUCCUUCAAACAUCGUGGGUGAAGCAGUCUGUCCCUGAAGGAGCUGCCGGUGAUGGUCCUGUUUCCUGCAGGGGGUGGGAGAUGUCCUCCAUGAUAGACAACAGCUUUGUCAUCAUCCUCCUGUCUACCACCAGCCCAGGACAGAGCUUGCUUUCUUAACCAGUUUCUUUAGUCUCUUCCUGUCUGCAGCCGUGAUGCUGCUGCUCCAGCAGACCACUCCAUACAGGAUGGCUGAUACCACCACACAACCAUAAAAGGUCCUCAGAAUUGCUCCCUGCACCCCGAAGGACCUCAGUUUCCUGAGCAGGUGAAGUCUGUUCUGACCUUUCUUACACCGUGCGUUGGUGUUCUAUCUCUAGACAUGUUUGAAUGUCUUUAUCAAUAAAUGGUCAAACACAUGUUGAGUGUCAGUUCAGCUCUUUGUUCCACACAUGUAUAUGUUCCUAUGUGAUUGGUGUCUUGCAGUCAGAGUGUAAAGAAUUGAAGCUGUCAGAGGCUUUCUGUGGUGAAGAGGCUGCAGGACAUCAGCUGCUCCAACAGCUCUGGUCCUGGUCACUGUUGGAGAAUCACCCUGCAGUGUUUUUGAACCGGUCGUCAGGAAACAGAGAAGCUAAUGAGGCUUCACUUCAGACCUCAUUACCCAGAGGUCUUUGCUGCACCGCCACCCGGUCCGGUCACACGGAGAACCAGAGUCUCUCCUUCCUGCUUUUCAGCUGCUUCCAACGGCUCCUGUGAGACUCGGAGGGAAUUAAUUUGGCAGGAAAAUGAAGACCAAGCAAUGAAUUGAAUAACCAAGAAAGUACCUGACAGACCGAUCACCAGCUAAACCUCAGCAUCGCUUCCAUCACUGAACUGUAGCUGUAAUUGAAUUUCACCCAAAAGUGAUGAGAAGUCUGACAAUCAGCACAACAGGAGGCAAAAGCAGGACACAGGUCACAUGUAGAGGCUCCCUGAUGGAACAUUUAUCUCAUCGAAGCUGGACUGACCUGUAUAAUCCACACACAAGGUCACACCACCUCUAGUUAUUAACACAGUCGUCUAUAGAAGCUGUAAAGCUUAUUGAAAUAGUGCAUGGUGUGUUUGCAUGUGUUUGUGCUUCUACUGUGAUCAUCUCACCUCCAUUCAUGAUUUAUAGACCGAAUGCUGCAGGGAUGUAGAGGGGUUUAGCUGGAAUUGUGACACAGUAAAGUGUUAAAAAACAUGGAAGUUAUCAAUGCAUAUUUACGCUGUUGAUCUAAAGUUGUACGCUCAGAACUGCAAGUAUAAAAAAUACAAUCAGGUGGGAUUAUACUAGAGUUAACUUCGAAAGUUUAGUUCAGACUUUCAGCUUUCAAAGCAGAAUUAACCUUGUAUGGAAACUUGUACACUAAAUAACUGACCAACAAUGAGAGUAUUUAGGUAGGUUUUAAGUAGCUUUUCAGCACAUUCCACAAUAUAAGACAGAAAAUAGGCAAAAACAAGAAGGCAGGAGCUUUUUAACUGUAUGUUUGUCUCAUUUUUAAGCUCUGUCUAUGAGUAAGCAUAUGAAUAUUUUUUAAAAACCCAGAAAAUGAUUAUUUAAGCUAAGCUGGACCCAGAUACGAUAAGUAAAGAUAAGUUAAGCUAAAUUGAGCUAAGCUAAGCCAAGCUAAGAUGAGCUAAGCUAAGAUGAUCUAAGCUAAAAUGAGCUAAGCUAAGCCAAGAUAAACUAAGCUAACCUAAAAUUUUAUGAAUUCUUAGGGAAGUUCCUGUGCCAGAUAUUGCUCAGAAAAACAAAAAAAACAUAAGAAAUACCAUGUAGAAAAGCAAUACGAUAUAAAUACAAUAUAAUGCAGAAAUAAAAUAUGGAAGCUAAAAUAAGAUUUAAAUAAAGUGAAAAGUAAAAAGUGGUGAACCUUUUCUAGUGGUCUUUAUUAAAAUAGAUCAAUAAAAGUUAUUGAAAAUUGUCAAUAAUGACAAAAAUGGACCAUUUUAUUAUAACUGUUCAGCGCUAAUGAAAUACAUUGGUCUAUUCUCUGAAUAUCGUUUUUGACUGCAAUAAUAGAAAUGAACAUAUUCAUAUCAUACCUUGUCUUGAUUAUACCUUUAUUAUAUCCACAUUUUAAGCCUUAUUGGACACAUUUUUACAAUUCUUGUCCUGUUACUUCCAUGUCUCGUCUGUAUCUACCUGCUGUAACAGGUAAAUUUCCUGCUCAGCGAUCAAUAAAGUUUGUUUUUUUAAUCUUAUACAGAGACAAAUGUGAAAAAAGGAGGACUUCUAACUUAUUUAAACAAUUAUCAUCAUUCCAUCAAAUAUUAUUUCACAUAACAAGGUUAUUUAUGGUACCAAGAACCAGAAAAAAGCAAAUUUACUGUAUAUCUCAACAACUUCUUCUACUUAUCUCUUUAUUUUUUACAAAAAAAUGAAGUUUUUCUGAUUCUGAUAUCCUCUCGUCUAACUGAAGUGGGUCACCAUCGCAUUGACUCCACUUCCCAUCUAUCAUUUUAUAGAGCAGCUUGUAAUUGCUCUUUAAUCUUGACACCGCUGGAGUAGCUGGUGGAGUAUUAGCUCUGGAUGUGUGUGAAGGCCGAGCUAUCUGAGAGCAGGAACCAUUAAUGGAGGCUAAAUCCCUCCAAUAUCCUGACCUCGCACUCUCCUCUGACAGAUAAGACGCGAUCAUCGGGAUGGCGGGGACCAGCCGGUGAACAGGCUGCAGAAAGGCCAGCGACAGUAGGGUAAGACAGGAUCAGCACAGUGGAUGUUAUCAGGAAAGAGCAUCGGGGAAGGGUUUUAACGUCGCGCACAGUGACCAACUGUAGAGUUGGAGUGCAAAAGGCGACACACUGAAGCUAAGAGGAUAGUUCCACGUCUGAUGUCGCGGUUUAGAUAUGGUUACAGCUGUGAAUAGGUCAGGAUUUAUGUGUGAAUUUUUCUAAAAAUAUCAUGUCUGAGCUAUAAUCUUUUAUUAACAUGCAGAUGAACUUACAAAAAAUCUAAAGGCAAGUCUUGUUUACUUGAUUUUCUUGUUCAAGAAGAAUUACCCAACAAGCAAGAAAUGGUUCCUCAACGUUAGCAAACAUUACCUACAUAUUCUAACAAUUUAUGUAAAGUAGACACUUAAUAUAAUACUCAAAUGUUUUAAGCACAAUUCUCAUUUCAAAUAAUGUUCCUGUUAGGUGACAUAUUAUCUAAUAUAGAACAUUUUGCCUGCAGUAUUUUGAGGAUAUUUUGGGGAUGUUGAGGGAACACAUUACAGAAUGUUCUUCCAUAAAACACUCCCAAAAUGCUAAAUGAUAACAAAUGAAGGAUGUCGUCAAUGCAACGUUCAGCAAAUGUUUUAUGGGAUUUAUCGGGACUUUUUCAUCCACAAAGCAUUUUUAGAAUGUCCAUAGAGAACCUUUGCAGCUGGAAACGUUACUAGAACUUUCUCAGAACAUUUGUAGAACAAAAAAUUCCAGCUGUGUCUUUGUUAAUGUCAAAAGAACAUUCAAAUAACGUGCAAAUCGUGCUGGUUAAAGAAAUAAGGUGCAAAAUUGCUGGUGUUUGCAAUAGAGUAUAAAGAAGUUUAAUGAAUAUCCUUGGUGCUGUCUUGGUGGCGUCCUCUGCUACCAAGACUCCAAGAGUGUUGGUGGCCUCCUUUGAAGCUUGCAACUCCUUCAGAGUAGUCAUGGGUAUCAUGGUGGCCUCCUCUGAUGCUUUUAACUCCUUUCGAGAAGUCAUAGGUGUCUAGGUGACCUCCUCUGAAGCUCCUAACUCUUUUAGAGGACUCAGUGUCUAGGUGGCCUCCUCUGAUGCAUUUAACUUCUUUAGGGGAGUCAUAGAUCUCUUGGUGGCAUCAUCUGAUGCAUUUAACUCCUUUAGAGGAGUCUUGGGUGUCUUGGUGGCCUCCUCUGAUGCAAUUAACUCCUUCAGAGGAGUCAUGUGUGUCUUGGUGCCCUCCUCUGAAGCUUCUAAAUCCUUUAGAGAAGUCAUUGGUGUCUUGGUGGCCUCCUCUGAUGCUUUUAACUCCUUCAGAGGAGUCAUAGGUGUCUUGGUGGUCCCUUCUGAAGCUUACAACUCCUUCAGAGGAAUCUUGGGUGUCUUGGUGGCCGCUUCUGAUGCAUUUAACUCCUUUUGAGAAGUCAAAUGUGUCUUGGUGGCCUCAUCUGAAGCCUCUAACUCCUUCAGAGGAUUCUUGGGUGUCUUGGUGGCCUCCUCUCAGUUUUCUUGCAACCAUCCACUGACUUGUGCUUUUCAUUAAUGAGUUUAUAGAAGCACAGUGACACGUCACUCUGAACAUUUGAUAAUGUCAACAUAAAGAGGUGACUGCAUCCUGAAAACUCCCACAGUGUCCCACUUGUGUCUAUAUCAAAACAAUAUUGAUUAAACAUCUCAAUCUGAAACAUAUAUUUGGUUGUCACAAAUGAUUAGUUCAAGGAUGGUUACAUGUUCUGGCUCUGAUAAAUGGUGGAAUUACGAUGACAUGCCUUUGACACCCACUGGCAGCUAUUGGGGUUCAGAGGGUUAAAAAAAACUGAUUAAAGAAGUAAUUUUUUCUUGCACUAGCUAGAAUCUCUUCCUCUGCAGGAAUAAACCUCCAAUAGUGAGAUUGUACGUGGACAGAAUUUGAAAUAUGCAACAUUUUGCUUUAAAAAUUACCUCCAGGGAGUUUUCAGAUGUUUGAUACAGAAGAUAUAACCAGAUAAUAAACCGCAAAUCAAAGUCAGGGCUUGAGUUUUGGCCAAUUACAUCACCAAAAACAAACAUGGAAGAGUGGCUGACUGCUACUGUGAUGUUUUCCAGCUGCAAAUAUCUGAAUGUGUGACAGGAAUUUAUGGAGAAGAAGUCAGAGAGAGUCUUUUAAAUUAGAUGGUCUGAAGAUGUUCCUGUAGAUUCAGCAGGUUCUUCGAAUAAAUUUGAAGUGACAGGUGUGAAUACAGAGCAGCUAAAAAUCAAGACCUUAUCGUGAAACAAAGGCUUUUACAGUUUUAUAGACGGACUGACUCAUUCGCCUUAAUUUUGUCACUGUUUCUUUGAGGUCUUCUUCUGUACAACAGUCACCUCUUCCACUGGGACGUAUAAAAGUGUCCAUGAAGCUUUCAGGUAGAUUGUAAGCAGCUCUGAAUAAACGACUCCCGGGUCUUAAACUCAUCUGAUUCUGACAUUGACGAGAAGCCGCUUUCAAAGACCCCCACAGGACGUAAACUUCCACCGAGCGAAGCUGCUGCUGCCUGAUUUAUUAUCAACAGGAAUACUGUGAUAACAGUGAGAGCGAGGUGGAGGAUUUAAUAAGAGCGCCAGAGUUAAUUGGCUUCCUGUUUUCAAAGUGGAACUGACAGAACGAACAGCGGAGAGAUAAAAGUGGCGGGAGAACGGACGGAUAGCGGCGAAUACCAACACUCUGAAAUGAGUAAACGUGAAGAUGUGUGGAGAAGAUUUGUUCAGAAAAUACAGCUUUUGGAGAACAUCAAUAGAUUAGUCCAAAUAUUCAAUCUAGAAACAAAUUAGAUCUCAUAGAGACAACUGGAAUCAUGAUCACUGGGUGAAAUUUCACAAGUCUGACCUGCAGUUUGAUUUAUAGGAGUUUUUCUUUAAAUCAUAUCAGCAUGCAGCAGCUGCUUGCAUUUCAUCUAACAUUAUACACCUCAUUGUUGGUUUACUUAAUCAAAUACACUUGUUUUGUUGUUAUUGUAUCAAUACUAAAAUGAAAGAAGCUUCAGCACAUAUUUCAGACGUAAAGUUUCCCAUAAAACUUAGCAAAAUCAUUUGAGAAUACGAUCGGAAAGGUGAAAGACAAUCAUAAAAAUUAUAAAAUUAUUCUGUCUUCACAUAAUGUGGAUGGAUGGAACUGAAAAUGCAGAAAACAAGACAGAAGGAGAAGCAAAAAAAGGAUGUUUUCUAAAAUAUUGAAAAGGUAAAUCAAAAGUUCACAUCAUGAUGUUGCCACCACCGUUCUAUACAUCAUGAUGCUGCCACCACCGUGCUUCACAUCAUGAUGCUGCCACCACCGUGCUUCACAUCAUGAUGCUGCCACCACCAUGCUUCACAUCAUGAUGCUGUCACCACCGUGCUUCACAUCAUAAUGCUGCCACCACCAUGCUUCACAUCAUGAUGCUGCCACCACCGUGCUUCACAUCAUGAUGCUGCCACCACCAUGCUUCACAUCAUGAUGCUGCCACCACCAUGCUUCACAUCAUGAUGCUGCCACCACCAUGCUUCACAUCAUGAUGCUGCCACCGCCGUGCUUCCCAUCAUGAUGCUGCCACCACCGUGCUUCAGAUCAUGAUGCUGCCACCGCCGUGCUUCACAUCAUGAUGCUGCCACCACCAUGCUACACAUCAUGAUGCUGCCACCACCAUACUUCAUUUUAUGAUGCUGCCACCACAUUUCACAUCAUGAUGCUGCCACCACCAUGCUUCACAUCAUGAUGCUGCCACCGCCAUGCUUCACAUCAUGAUGCUGCCACCGCCGUGCUUCAGAUCAUGAUGCUGCCACCGCCGUGCUUCACAUCAUGAUGCUGCCACCACCAUGCUUCACAUCAUGAUGCUGCCACCACCAUACUUCAUUUUAUGAUGCUGCCACCACAUUUCACAUCAUGAUGCUGCCACCACCAUGCUUCACAUCAUGAUGCUGCCACCACCGUGCUUCACAUUAUGAUGCUGCCACCACCAUGCUUCACAUCAUGAUGCUGCCACCACCGUGCUUCACAUUAUGAUGCUGCCACCACCGUGCUUCACAUCAUGAUGCUGCCACCACCGUGCUUCACAUCAUGAUGCUGCCACCACCGUGCUUUACAUCAUGAUGCUGCCACCACAUUUCACAUCAUGAUGCUGCCACCACCAUGCUUCACAUCAUGAUGCUGCCACCACCAUUCUAUACAUCAUGAUGCUGCCACCACCAUGCUUCACAUCAUGAUGCUGCCACCACCGUGCUUCACAUCAUGAUGCUGCCACCACCAUGCUUCACAUCAUGAUGCUGCCACCACCAUGCUUCACAUCAUGAUGCUGCCACCACCAUGCUUCACAUCAUGAUGCUGCCACCACCAUUCUAUACAUCAUGAUGCUGCCACCACCAUUCUAUAUAUCAUGAUGCUGCCACCACCGUGCUUCACAUCAUGAUGCUGCCGCCAUCAGGAGCCCUGCCUGACUCUACCUCCCCAAUCUGUCUGAUUCUAUCUCUUCUGUCUAUCUUUCCUCACAAAAAACAAGUGAUGCUGAAACCAUACCUACCGAAAAACACAUCUUGAAAAAGAAAAAAAAGGAAAAAAACGGAGUAUAAAACUUACCUGUGGGAACAACACACAUACAGAAAUACCUGAAAGAAAGAAUAAAAUCAGAACAAUUAGACCAGGGGGAUACUAACAAACAAAUUACUUAUUAAUUAGUAACACUCACCUUUGGAAAAAAAAAAACACACACAAAAACGACAACAUAAAAAAAGAAAAAAAAAUCAAACACAAUACUAUCCUAAUAGAACAAUACCUACCUUGAAGGUAUCUGAAAGAUGAAGAGAUAAAAGAUAAAAUAAAAUAAGAGAAACAGUAAACCAGAAAUACACUGACAAGUAGAGUGUAUUAUCAUUCUGACAAUAACUAUAAUGCAAACAUUCAUAGAUCGGCCUGAAGAAAAUGUAAGACACACAGAAAAAAAACACAAAAAACAAAUCAAACAAAAAAAAGGGGGAUUGUAAUAAUUACCUAUUAUAAACGAUACACGACAAAGAAACACCUGGAGGGAGAAAGUAGAACACAGAACUAUCAGACCUCGAUAAUUAGAUAAAGCUUUUGACUGGUGAAGAAUAAGCAGGAGUUGUUGCAGGUACAGUCUCAGCCACUGAAGCUUGUAACUCCUUCAGAGGAGUCAUGGGGUCUUGGUGGCCUCCUCUGAAGCUUGUAACCUCUUUAAAGAAAUCAUAGUUGUCUUGGUGGCCUCCUCUGAAGCUUGUAACUCCUUCAGAGGAAUCAUGGGUGUCUAGGUGGCCUGCUCAGAAACUUGAAACUCCUACAGAGAAGUCAUAGUUGACUUGAUGGCCUCCUCUGAACGUUGUAACUUCUUUAGAGAAGUCAUAGAUGUCUUAAUGGCCUCCUCUAAAGCUUGUAACUUCAUUAGAGCAGUCAUGGGUGUCUCGGUUUCCUCCUCUGAUGCAUUUAACCCCUUUAGAGGAGUCAUCUAUGUCUUGGUGGCCUCCUCUGAGGCAUUUAACUCCUUUAGAGGAGUCGUAGGUGUCUUGCUGGUCUACUUCUUGCUCAGUGACUCCCUUUCUCAGUACAGCUUGUUGUAGGCAGGUUUACAUGUGCCAUAUUCCUUCCAUUACAUAAUGUUAGAUUUAACUGUACUUUAAGGGACAUUCAUUGACUUGUAAAUUUUCUUGCAUCCAUCCACUGACUUAUUUUUAAUAACCUGUUCAUGGUCUUGCUUGGAGUGUCUUUUGUCUUGUGGUGUAGUUAUAUCCAGCAGUACUGAUUCACCGUUGACUGGACCUUCCAGAUACAGGCGUUUUUAUACUACAGUCAUUGAGACACAUUUCCUGUCAUUUGUGCAUGUAGCCUAUUACAGUAAAUAUCCAUUUUUACAUCAGAAAUAACUGCUCUCAUCAGUCCCAGAUGUCCAUCAGUAGACAGGACCAGACUCCAAUAAGCAGUGUUUUAUCCAUUGUGAGAAAAAUCAGAUGUGUCACGCCUCAUUUCACUGGAUAGUCAAACCCGAUUGACCCCUCCGUCGUUAAAAAGAAAAAGAAAAAACAAACGCCCCGGGAGAACAGCGAGAAAGGAACAAGAUAAAGCCAUGAUGGGAAGCAAUUAUGCAGAAGACGGCUCACUACAUCACUGUUUACCCCUUUCAAUUAGAUUACGUCUUUCUGCGGCUUCGUUCCCCUCUGUGUGGAACUGAUUGAUCGGAGGUGGGAGAUGAAGGUAAUGAGGUUUGGAGAGAGAUGAAGUGUAAAAACACUGGUAUGGAUGGAAAAGAAAAAGAAAGAUUAAAGGACUUGUGGUUCUUUUCUACUUAUGAAUAACAUUACUGGAUAUUCCCCUAUGAACUACUGAUAGCAAAAAUACAGUAAUAUUAGCUACUGUAUGUCUUUGUAUUGAUUCUCUGCAUUUUCUUAUUUCUAAACUUAUAAAGAAUUCAGUCAAGACAUUAAAUUAAGAUGAGAUUUUCUACAGCAUAUUAGAACAUCACAUUAAUAAUCAUGCCUAUUUAUGAAAUUACUGUUUAUAUAAAAUAAACACCAUAUUGAUACUAAGAAAGUUGGUAAAGAUGUAAACCAACAGCAAUAAAGUAAUUAAAACGAGAUAGUGAUAUAUGAAAACAGGCUGACGCUAGUUGACGUUCAGUAUGCACAAUAACUACUUUACUCUGCAACAACACAAUAAUAGCUGUACACUGUAUACUUAUAUUUUUGUUGUUCUAGUACAAUGUACACUUUUAUAUUUUAUGUUAUUUUUAGGAUGUAUUUUACUCCUUAUGUUGAUUUUAUAUUUUCUUCUACUGCUUAAACUUGAAUGAGAGCAAGUGUAACUUAAGCAAUUUCCUCUCAAUAAAGUGAUUAAUGAAGUAGAUCUCAUUCUGGUAAUGCUGGUUGAAGUAACAGCUGUUUUUAACAUUCUUUUUUUCUUUGCAGAUGCGAUCCUUUUUAAAAUCACUUCAAUCACUGUAUAAUGAUUCUUUUACUAAAUCAAGUUAAUCAAGCCCUCUAGUGAAUUAUCCUGUGUUUUCCAGCUAAGCUAAAAUAAGCUAAGAUGACUUUUAUUUUAUGAUGUUGUUAAAUUAUGUUUUUUUUUUUUACUGUUGUGUUCACAUUAUUACCUGUGUGCACCAAUGAAAGAUACGAGGACAAGAAAAGAUAAACUAAGAUAAGCUAACAUCACCUGAGCUAAGGUAAGAUAAGCUAAGUAAAACUAAGAUAAGCCAAGAUAAACCAAGCUCAGCUAAGAUAAGAUAAACUAUGAUAAGUAAGAUAAGGCAAACUAUGAUAGGAUAAUAUCAGCUUAGCUAAGAUAGAGUGAGAUAAGCUAAGCUAACAUAAGGUAAGCCAAGCUAAGAUAAGCUAAGAUAAGCUAAGCUAAGCUAAACUACAAUAGGAUAAGUUAAGAUAGGAU